GACGAACGCUGGCGGCGUGCUUAACACAUGCAAGUCGAACGGAAAGGCCCUGCUUUUGUGGGGUGCUCGAGUGGCGAACGGGUGAGUAACACGUGAGUAACCUGCCCUUGACUUUGGGAUAACUUCAGGAAACUGGGGCUAAUACCGGAUAGGAGCUCCUGCUGCAUGGUGGGGGUUGGAAAGUUUCGGCGGUUGGGGAUGGACGCGCGGCUUAUCAGCUUGUUGGUGGGGUAGUGGCUUACCAAGGCUUUGACGGGUAGCCGGCCUGAGAGGGUGACCGGCCACAUUGGGACUGAGAUACGGCCCAGACUCCUACGGGAGGCAGCAGUGGGGAAUAUUGCACAAUGGGCGGAAGCCUGAUGCAGCAACGCCGCGUGCGGGAUGACGGCCUUCGGGUUGUAAACCGCGUUCGCCUGUGACGAAGCGUGAGUGACGGUAAUGGGUAAAGAAGCACCGGCUAACUACGUG
rnacentral:rRNA from 1 species